CGCUUACCACUUUGUGGUUCAUGACUGGGGUGAAGUCGUAACAAGGUAGCGCUAGGGGAACCUGGCGCUGGAUCACCUCCUUA
rnacentral:rRNA from 1 species